rnacentral:rRNA from 1 species
UACCGAGGUGGCAAGCGUUGUUCGGAAUUACUGGGCGUAAAGGGCGCGUAGGCGGUCCGAUAAGUCCCGUGUGAAAGCCCCCGGCUCAACUGGGGAACUGCACGGGAAACUGACGGACUUGAGUUCGGGAGAGGGAAGCGGAAUUCCGGGUGUAGCGGUGAAAUGCGUAGAUAUCCGGAGGAACACCGGUGGCGAAGGCGGCUUCCUGGACCGACACUGACGCUGAUGCGCGAAAGCUAGGGGAGCAAACGGG